CCAGCAGGCAGCAAGGGGCCAGUCUCUCUCUCUCUUAAUCUCUAUCUCACGUACGCACAGGCACAGACACGCACACGUCUAGCCGUCAAAUACCUCGCGGCAGCAUCUGCUGCGUACUCUCGACGCCUCCCUCUGUCUUUCGCCCCGCCGCCACUUCCGCACAGCCGCCCCACCGUUAGAACGUAUCCGCGACGGACGCGGAAGCGACGACGCAGUGGAGAAAGUACGCCGUCGCUGCCGCUGUGCACGAGAAGCUGGGGAAGAGCUGCGCACGGUCGGUGUGCGUGCAGGCAUUUCCUUGGGCAUCCGGCUCAUCCUUCUCCACUGACACCGCGGCCGCCGCCACGACCAUCACCAUCAUCAUCAUCGCUGCUCUCCCUCCGUUAGCACUGACCUCUGCGUGUGCGUGUGCGUGUGAAGCUUGAAGAGCCGAUGGGGCAUAAGUAUAGCACCAGCGCACACCCGUCCGCGGGCGUCGGCGACGCUGCCGUGGCAGCAGCAGCGGGCAUGCUGCCAGCACCAUGCCCACCGCCAGCGCUGAAUAGGCCGCUGAUGGAGCCGCGAUGGAGGGGUGGCCGUCUCUCCACGGAGCAGGUGGCGGACCUGCGCACUGAACUAGGGCGUCUGGUCGCGGCGCUCGCGGUCGCGUUUCAGGCAGGCAGAGCAGAAGAGGAAGGACAGCAUACGCAGGACGUUGCCGCUGACGCGCAUGACGCGAAAGGCAGUGCGCACACCUCGAGUAGCGCACCGCUCAGCGACCCGCUGGCGGAAGAGGCGGCCGCGCUGCUUCUGAAGCCGUUCGAAGAGAUGCACCUCUCUGGCUACCGGCUUGGCGAUGCCGCGCUCACGUCCCCGAGCAUGCCCGACCUGCCGUCCUUUCUCUCUGUUGUGUCUCGGCACACGCGGCUCCGCGUGCUCGAUUUGAGCUUCAACAAUCUGACACCGCAGGUGCUGGCGCCCCUCCUCCAAGCCAUUCGUGGUCUGCCGUUGCUGGCGGUGCUGAAGCUCAGCGGCAACAUGCUCGGAUCGGCGCGCAGUGACGACUACAACGGCAGCCGCAGCGAGAAAUGGGACUUGUCCACCGUGAGUGUCGAUGAAGAGCUCGGAGAUGCCGCGACGGCGGCUGCACGGCUUGGCCGUUAUCUCGCCACAAACCCGGCGCUGCUGGAGUUGGCACUGUUUCACUGCGAUCUGAACGAUCACGACGUGCGCGAGCUGCUCUCCGGCCUUGUUCACCCCCGCAACACCACCCUGCACACAUUGCAGCUCUCCUGGAACCCGGCGUGCACCUCGCGCAGUGCGGAGAUGGCCCUGCAGCUGGUCACGGACCUCGGAAACACCACCCUGUGCGAGCUGGAGCUAGAGGGCGAGGCGCCGGCGACACAGGUGCGUCUUGAGUACGCGUGCACCCCCGACGGUGUCUUCCGCUCCGGACACACCCUCAUCCCGGAGAGCGCGGCGGCAGGGGCAGCGACCGGCGACGGCAACGACGAUAACAGCGGCAAUGCGGGCACGGUGAUCACAAGUGCGGCAGCUGCCGACGUGGUGAGCCUUGAGCAGCUUCGGCAGCAGCAGCAGCAACUCGCCGAGAUCCAGAAGCACCUCACACCUGCCCAGGGGGCCCGCUACGUGAACCGCUGCCGCUACCUCGCCGAGGACUUGGACGGGUCACGUGUGUUGGCACCGUUGGUGAUGCGAGAGCUGAAGGCGGUGCUGUCCAUCCGGCUGCCUCCGAGGCCGCGCGUCGACGAACGCCACGGCGCGAGCGAGUUGAACGUAGCCGCCUUCGCAGAACGGGAGACGGCUUCUGCCUCUGCUGCUGGCGCGGGAGCACACAGCCAAGACGGCAGCGGAGAGCUCUUCACGUCCGCUGCGGCGGUGGACUGCGGCGGCAGCGACCCUCACAGUGGCCGUGCCGUGCCGUCUCCGGCGGCCGCUGCCAACUCGUCCGCCGGCCUCCAGCGGCGGUCCUUCGAGGGUGUUUCUGCAAUGACUGACGGCCAUGUGGCAAGUGUUGCGCCACCCCCGCAGGCAACGGAUGCGCCGCGCCCGCGCACGUCUCCCCCGAUGCACCUGCGCCGUCGGUGGCCCACCCCCGCGGUGAGCACGGGCAGCGUAGCCAGUCCCGCGUCGGGGCGACACGCGGCGCAGCAGCAGCAGCACCCUCGCACACCGCAAGAGCUGCGUGAUGCUCGCUUCGAAACACCACAGCGCCUCGCCGCUGUGAUGGCCGACGCCGAGGCAUUUCGCCGUCGCCUGCAACCUGUGCAGCUUGACACUCACGCGCCGCCGUGCGCCGAGGUCAGUCGAUACCGCAGCGGCGCGCACAGCGCAUCGGUGACGAAAACGAGAUCCCUGUGGUACGCCGACGACGGCUUUGUGUUGCGCCCGAAUGGGUUGUCGAAGGUGCUCGUUGCACCGGUGCUCCCUGGUGGCGCGACGGCCUUCGCAAACGUGGCACUGGAGGACGUGGAAGACCGCCCCCUGCAGCCCUGUUGGUGCACACCGCGCCAGACGUCUCCGAUGACUGGCAUCUACGCUGGCAUACUGCACUACCACUGCGUGCACGAGGCAACGGCACAGCAACAGAAGCGACAGUACGGCACCUCCUCGUCGCCACCGCCAUCGACGGCUGCGACAGCGGUGAAGCCGGCGGACCCCAGCGCGUCCAAGAGCCGGCUGCCGCUGCUGCUUCCCCAGCCCUCGCAGCAGCCGCAGCCGCAGCUGCAGCCGCAACAGCUGCCCAGCACGGCUGAGAUGUACUGCGGAUGCCAGGGCACCGGUCAUCUCUGCCUCUCCGCGUGUGUGGCCUCAGAGGGGGCGGGGGCUGGUCGACGCCGCCAUCGCAUGCGGUCGACGUUGCACGUAAAGGCUGCAAAGGCAGUGGGCAAGUCUGCAGGGAGCGGUUAUGGUGCGUCAGCGUCCCGCAAAUCCGACCGCACGCGCGAGCGCUUCCUCGACUGGACGGCCACCAAUAGUGACGCUGUCAACACCCUCUUGAGCACCGUUGCAGCAGCGGCACCACCGGCGCUGCGUCUGAGCACCGUGCGCACGGCAUGCGGUGGUCUCUCGAUCGCGCUCAACUACAGCCCAGUGACCCAUUUCUCCGCGCCACACGUGAGCUGCGCAUCAGGCAUGACGCUAGCGGAGUUCUAAUUGGGCGAGAGGGAGACAUAAUGCGUAUGUCCGAGCCUGUGUAUGUGUGUGUGGUGGGGGGAGGUGUGGGGUGGGGAGCGUCACGGAAGUCGACAUCCGUGCGCGUGCGAGUGUGCACACUGCGCGCAUGCUCUGCUCUGCUCUGCUCUACUCUACUCUACUCUGCUGAUGUGUAUUAGCCCUUCUUCGAUGUUCCAUACGCGUAUGUGUGUGUAGGUGUGCGUUGCUUUUUGUUUUUUCACUUGGUUUUACUUUUCGGCAGCGCUCGAGACUCUCGCGCGUACCGCGUCGCCGUCCGCCCCACCGACCUCACGACUUGUGCCUUGAUUAAUGUCGUGCACGCGACAACGUCGCCAAGGGUGCGAGUGCGCGCGGUGUUCGGUUGCACGGGUGUGUUGCCAUGUCAUGGGAUGUGGUGGUGGUACGUGUGCGCAUGUGAGGAGAGAGAGAGGGCGGCCGAGGAGAUGGAGGAGGAGGGGGAGAAUCGACGCUGGUGGGGGGGGAAGGGGUGCACGCCGCUCACGUGAUCGCGCAUCGUGCACGCACGCACAAACAACACCUUGCUUUUGGUUCUGUCUUCGCCGCUGCUUUGCUCGACCUCCCGCCCGCUCGCUCUCCCCCGCCGAUCUCCUGCAGGCGCAAGGGACAUGCCCCGCGCCCUGUUGUGUGUGCAUGCGUGCGCGAUGCUUCGCCUCGGCGGCAUGCGUGUCCCCGGCGCGCCCGAGGAUGUGUCCAUCAGUACAUCACCCUCGUCGAAAGGCGCGCUAGCAGACGGAUUGGUACACCUGCUGCACGGUUUGGAAGGACGCGGCCGCCUUGUAGCUCUCAGGCCUCCGUGCGUCUCGGUGUACGCGCUCGGUGGGAGAAGGGGGAGAGAGGCGGCCAACACAGCCACCGCCAUCAUCAUCGUCUCGCGCCUCCCAGCCCCGCCCGCUUCGUCUUCCCGUGGGUAGAACAGGCCGCUCCUUUCUGUUCUCGUUGUUCCUUCUCCCCUGAUGACGAGAGGGAGGAGCUGGCGCGAGGGCCACACGCACGGCGCCCCUCAGUGCGCGGGAUCACAAGGCUCAAGCACUCCUCCACCCCCUCUAUCUCAUGCCAAAUCCCGAGCCGCUUCUGGUAGUGGCAUGGCCAAACACCUGCGACGUAGGGGGAGGUCAGUGUGAUGUACCGCUACGGCUGUCGGCAGUGUGUCAGGUCCUGGACGGCGUUGUGUUGGGGCGACCUGUCAGGGCGAGCACGUGUCUGUGCCGUCCACGUGAUGGGCAGAGUGUCAGCGUGGCUCGAGCGUGUCCCACCCCCGGCCCUCACACUGUGCCCUACUUGGUGGUGAGAAUCCUGCGCCGCCCCGAGGGGGUGGAUGCACCUGGGAUGGCGGCCUGCAUAAUGGGAUGAAGGAGGGGAGGGGAAGUGAGGUGAGGUGGGGCGAAGUUCGAGGGCAACGCCCGCGCGCUCAGAUGGCUGCGCCAGCGCACUGCUUUAGCGCGUGUGCCUACGGCUGCUUCGCACCACGCGGAUGGGGGGAAGGGGAGGGGGGCCUGGUGACCGGACCGAGUGGUGGGGUUUGAGCUGAACUCGUACGGUGUGGCAAAGAAACGGACGCGCUGGGAGGCGGAAAAGCGUGCCGCUCCCUCUCUCUGCCUCUCUUCCCAUGGCGGUUCCGUUGCGCCAUGCUGUUGGAAGUUGGUCAUGCCCUCUCACCCACGCGCGCGCACACCCACGUCUGCGUCUGAUGGGUCUGUGCGAGUGAGCGCCUGUGUGGAUGGUGCGCUCAUGUGAAUGUGUACGUCUGUGUCUGUUCCUGGCAGCAGCGUGUAGGAGCAUUCUCAGCCAUGUAGGUGGGUUGUAUUGUGACGUAGCUGAGUCGUUGCGCGUGCGUCUCCGUCAGCAGACAGUUUCGUUUCCAGGGCUCCCGUCUCUGCCCUCCUUCCCUUCCCUUCUCUCUCGGGCACACGCAUGCAUGCAGGCAUGUAGACAUCCCUAUCCCGUGUUCCUCGCACGCAUCCGAAUUUUGUAUCUCUAUGUGUGUGUAUACUAGGGUGCCUCUGCGCCAGCCUCACCGCUGUCGCUCUCAUCAUCAUCAGCCCCACCCCCUACCAUCCCUGUCUGGAUGUCUUUACCCUCACC
rnacentral:misc_RNA from 1 species